UGACGGUACCUGGAGAAAAAGCAACGGCUAACUACGUGCCAGCAGCCGCGGUAAUACGUAGGGGGCAAGCGUUAUCCGGAUUUACUGGGUGUAAAGGGUGCGUAGGCGGCAUGGUAAGUCAGAUGUGAAAUACCGGGGCUCAACCCCGUGAUUGCCUUUGGAACUGUAGGACUUGAGUACUGGAGGGGCAGGCGGAAUUCCUGGUGUAGCGGUGAAAUGCGUAGAUAUCAGGAGGAACACCGGUGGCGAAGGCGGCCUGCUGGACAGAAACUGACGCUGAGGCUCGAAAGCGUGGGGAGCAAACAGGAUUAGAUACCCUG
rnacentral:rRNA from 1 species